AUGCCUCCUCCACCUCCAAGCGAUGGCUAUAUAUCUCUGGCAUCCUGCUCGCCACCGUCUACGCCGCACCCCACGGCUGCCUCUUUUCUGGUGAAGAUGGAGCUCUGUGAGCAGUGUGUUUGUUUUCUGGUGACCAACGAUGUUCUUGAGAGGACACACUCCCAUCUCACUGGCAAGCAGCACAUUGGUUAUGGUCCGGUUAGGGAUUUCCUUUUCGAAUAUAAGGCUGCAAGAGAGCGGAGAGGUUUGCAAGGUAGGCUUUUUGACUUGGUUGGAGCAACCAAAGGAUAUGCCCCAAGAUCCACGAUCCAGCCCUCAAUCAAAGUUAUGCUGCCCGUCUUCUGUGCUUCUUCUCUCGCCUCCUUAUACAACACACUUGAUGAGCCCGAGUCGGAGGUGUGCCGUGAGCAAGGCGUGCGUCUGGCAGCGCCUGCCCUCUACGCGUCUGGCAGAUUAUUUUCUCUUGCUCAACAAGAGAUGGUAGGUCAAGGUGGAAAAACCAAACCUUGGAAGUCACAGGUUCCAUGGCCUUGGCGGUUGUCAUCAUCUAGAGAGAGAGGUUCGAUCCGUGGGAUGUGA
rnacentral:rRNA from 1 species